CAGAUAAAGAAACGUGUUUUAGUAUGGAAACAAAAACAUUUGAUUGUUGACCAAUUUCGCUCGCGAAACAAAAGCAGAAUAGACGACGCCCAAGAAGAGCGCAAUCACAGUUGCUGCGCAACAAAUCGUUUUCUUAUGUAAAAUAAACGAGAUCACCAUACUUCUAAUUGUAACUAAGUGAUUGUAAGUGUAGGAGAUCUUGCUCUCAUGUACUUACUCGAGGUGGAAAACAAUUUGUUAUAUGUGGAUGCAUAAAUAAGAAAGAGUUUCAAGCUAUUGCAAUAAAUCUAUACGAAGGAAUGAGUGUGAAAGCUAGUGUAUUGCUUUUGAUCUUGCAAUUACAACAACAUUAUUUUGAAAUAAUUGGAAGAUGCUGGCAAAGGCUUUUGGAAAUUUGUGCUUAAUUAUCUUAUACCAAUAAAAAUUCUACAAACUUAUAUUUACAAAUAAAAGCUGCAUUCGUUUCUUUUUAAA
rnacentral:sRNA from 1 species